rnacentral:lncRNA from 1 species
UUACUGUCAUUUAUUAUAACUGUACCUAGAGUGUCAUCCAAUUCAAUGACACAUAUCUGCAGGUCCAGACAUGCCUUCCACUGGUAUCAUUGUUACGCGUCCAAUCCACUUUUGAAUAGCAUCUAUAACAUGAGGAACAAUCUAUAGGUAGCAACAUUACACAAAGGCUAUUGCAAGCCACGAUAGCUGAUGGGUUUAAUAGUUAUUAAAUAACUGGACAGUUUUUUCAGAUAGUCUCCCCUUCUUUUCUUAUCUAUAACAUGCCAAAAGGGAAAAAAAUUAUUAAAAAGAAAUCAGCUAGCUUAUUAUUCUUUUUGGUUUCUCCUAGCAGCAGACACAAAAAUAAUCAAAAGAGAUGUGCAAGUUAAUCUCACAUGGUAAAUUUUUCCAGUACUGAUAUUAUUGUCUCUUCUCAACUUGAUAUCCAGAAAAUUCAUGAUUUCUGAUGUCCAGGUUCACCUUUAAAACAACAAAAAAAAAGUCAUUUUCUUCCCAACCUUUUAAGUUGUGAUACUUUCUAAAUAAUAAUCAAUAGAAAUGAUAAAAGAAAUGAUAAUUGAAAAUUACUCGAUUUUUAGGAAUUAUAUAAAAAGGAAAUAAGAAACUCCCACAUCUACAAAAUAAAAUAAAAAAAGCAUGUAAAAGAUGUUGACUUAUUUGCUAAUCUUAGCUAAUUCUAGGGAUUUGAUUUGAUCUGAUUAGGAUUCUUAAUUAUGUCUGUAAUUAUUAUUUGAUUAAUUAUUUGCUUCCUAUUUAGAUAUGAUUCUUUGUGUAUAAAUAGUCAUGUAGACCAAUUGUAAAGAUUAAGAGUGAAAUACAAGAAUACUCAAAAUUUUUCCAAAAUUCUUCAUGGUAUCAUAGCCUUUUCCUGAUUUUUUGGGUCCAAAUUUAAUUUUUCUUCUUUAGGGUUUCAAAACCUUAGAUCUACCUUUUUUGGUACUAAUCUAUCUAGGAGCCUCUCAUUCUCUCACCGCCGACACCAGGAGAACCGCCGAACUGCCGCCGGACUGCCGCCGGCCGAUCAACCAGCUCCGAUGUCGGAAAAGCCUAUGCGUGAGGCUCACGCGCCACCCCUUCCCGGCGCGUGACCUGUCACUUCCUAGCGCAUGACCCAUUGUCUGUCACUGCAUCGCCGCUCCGAUCACUCCGGCGACGAUUCCGACCAUCUUUCCGGCCUUCUCGUGCUGUUACUCGGUCUUUUGGUGAAUCAAUUGGGCUUUCUUGUAUGUACAACCUUGGGUACCUCCUAUUCUUUCACGGUUCAUAAAUCUUUACUAUGGCAGAAGGUAAAAGGGUCUCGAUUCCUAAAACUCUGAUAAUCCUUCCUUGCAAAUUAGUCCCAUAAAACUUGAUGGAACCAAUUAUCUUGCUUGGUCAAAGUCUUGUUUGUUGUUCAUAAAUCUUUACUAUGGCAGAAGGUAAAAGGGUCUCGAUUCCUAACUCUGAUAAUCCUUCCUUGCAAAUUAGUCCCAUAAAACUUGAUGGAACCAAUUAUCUUGCUUGGUCAAAGUCUUGUUUGUUGUUUAUCAAGGCUAGAGGACUGCAGGAUUAUGUUACUGGUAAUAAAAAACAACCUGAUGAGAGGGAUCCAGAUUUUCCUCAAUGGGACUCGGAUAAUUGUCUUGUUAUGACAUGGUUACUGAACUCUAUGCAACCUCAUAUCUCUAAGUCCUAUUUGUUAAUUGAUACUGCUGCAAAAAUAUGGAAAGCUUUGUCCUUAACUUAUUCCAAGAUUGGGAAUGAUGCCCAAAUUUAUGAUAUUCGGAAUAAGAUUCAUGGUACUAAGCAAGGAGAAAUGACUAUCUCCCAAUUUUAUUCUGAGUUAUGUGGCUUAUAAUAGGAGCUUGAUUACUAUCAAGACUUCUAGGCAUACUGCACUGGAGAUACAGUCAAAUUUCGGAGAAUGAUUGAAAAGAAGCGGGUCUAUGAUUUUCUUGCAGGGUUGAAUAACGAAUAUGAUCCAAUUCGGGUCCAAGUGUUGGGAAGAAAUCCUUUUCCUUCUCUAGAAGAGGCCCACGCCCAUGUUCAACAAGAGGAAAGUCGUCGACAUGUUAUAUACUGCACCAGUUGAAAAGGCUGGGUUGACUACUAGUUUGAGCACACCACAACCUCCUACUAUUGAGAAAGAUCACUUACACUAUGACUAUUGUGGAAAACCGAGGCAUACCAAAGAGACUUGUUGGAAGUUACAUGGUCGUCCCACUAGAGGUCGUGGAGGAAAAUGAGGUACCUCUAGAAAUCAAGCUACUUUAGCAGAAACUGUGGAGGAGCCCUUUAAGGAGACAACAACGACUGAGUUUCUUUCCCCUAAUGAACUUCAAAGUCUCAAGCGCUUCUUGUCUCAUAUUGACACCUCUUCAUCCUCUGAUGCCACAUCUAACUUUGUAAAGUCAGGUAAUGCUUCCUCUUUUAAUAAUGUUCCAUAGAUUAUCGAUUCUGGUGCGAAUAGACAUAUGACAGGCUCUUCUAAAGGCUUUCUCAAUUAUUCUCCUUCUCUAACCAAAGACAGUGUUAGAAUUGUUGAUGGCUCUUUUACUCCCAUAUCCGGAACAGGUUCUGUUAUUUGCACAUCCAACAUUAAAUUAUCAUUUGUCCUUCAUGUUCCCCACUUUCCUGUCAACCUUUUAUCUGUCAGUGUUAUCACCAAUGCUCUUAACUAUAAAAUUGAAUUCUUUCCUGAUCAUUGUGUUAUUCAGGAUCUUCGCACAGGGAAGAGGAUUGGCAAUGGUAGGCUGCAUGAUGGCUUAUACAUGUUGGAGGGUGAUCCGGGUUCUUCGAUAUCUCAAGCCUGUUUUGGAGAAAAUAAGGAUGUCAAUCGGGAAAUAAUACAGUGGCACCGGCGGUUAGGGCAUCCAUCAUUUUUUAUCUUAGAAAAACUUUAUCCUGAUCUGUUUGCUAAAACCCAGUUUGGCUCUUUAUUUUGUGAUGCUUGUGAGUAUGCUAAACACACUAGAACAUCCUAUCCUUUGAGUCAUAAUAAAAGUCAAAUUUCUUUUGACAACUAUUCAUUCUGAUGUUUGGGAGCCUACUCAAACUGUCUCCUUAUCCGGUAAUCGAUGGUUUGUCACCUUUAUUGAUUGUUGUACUCGAAUGACUUGGGUCUAUCUGAUUAAAGCUAAAAGUGAUGUCUUUUCUUGUUUUCAAUAUUUUCAUAAGAUGGUUUGUACUCAAUUUGAUACUAAAGUGAAAAUUUUGAGAACUGAUAAUGGAAGAGAAUACAUGGAUAGUACCUUUUCUGCUUAUUUGGAGUAAUGGGAUAGUACACCAGACUAGUUGUCCUUAUACUAGUGCUCAAAAUGGCGUUGCUGAGAGAAAAAAUAGGCAUCUAUUGGAGGUAGCUCGAUCUCUUAUGUUCACCAUGAAUCUAUCCAAAGCAUAUUGGGGAGAUGCAAUCCUUAUAUCUGCUUACCUUAUAAAUAGAAUGCCUCUCAAGACCCUUGACUUUAUGAGUCCUUUAGCGGUUCUACAAGAGAAGAAUUCAUAUUGUUGAAUCCCACAUCGGUUGUGGAAAGGGGUAAUGUGCCCCUUAUAUGGGCCAUAGGCACUCCUCCCCCUUGAGCUAGCUUUUGGGGUGAGUUAGGCCUGGCCCAAAUUUAACAUGAUAUCAGAGCCUCCCCAUCCGAUGUUGGGCACCCCAUAAAUGUGCCACGCACCGGUAAAAAUUCUGGACGUGAGGGGGUGUGUUGAAUCCCACAUCGGUUGUGGAAAGGGGUAAUGUGCCCCUUAUAUGGGCCAUAGGCACUCCUCCCCCUUGAGCUAGCUUUUGGGGUGAGUUAGGUCUGGCCCAAAUUUAACACAUAUGUUGUUCCACCAAAAGUAUUUGGGUGUGUUUAUUUUGUCCAUACUAGGACGGUAGGGAAAUUGGAUCCCAAGGCCCUCAAAUGUGUGUUUGUUGGGUAUUCUCCGACACAGAAGGGAUAUAGGUGUUAUCACCCUCCCUCUAGAAAAUACUUAGUCAGUAUGGAUGUUACCUUUCGAGAAACUGAACCCUACUUCAAUACCACCCACUCACCUCUUCAGGAGGAGAAUAAUGAGCAAGAAGAGGUGAUCCCGAAUUGUGUGAUUCUGGAUAAUAUGGUUCAACUAGAGAGUUUGAGUUCUAAUCGACGGGGGAGAUGUCCAAUCAGGGAGAAAGAAUUGGUCGUUUGGACAAACCAGAUUUGAGAAGGUAUUCAAGGAGAGACAAGGCAGAAGAAGCCAUUAUGCAGUCUACUCAGAGUUAAGAAUCUUCUUCUGGUGAGUUACCCACAACUCUUGAAUGCUUCAAUGAUUUAGAUAAACCGAUUGCACAAAGAAAACGAGUUAGAUCUCGUACUAAACAUCCUCUUUCUAACUUUGUUUCUUAUGAAUCCUUGUCUCCUUCCUAUAGAGCCUUUGCCUUGCCUAUUUCCUCUGUAUCUAUUUCACAGGAUUGGAAGAAAGCUCUUGCAGAACCUAAAUGGAAGGACGCAAUGAUUGAAGAGAGGAAAGCAUUGGCUAAAAAUGAAACCUAGGAGCUUGUCACUCUUCUACCUGGAAAGAAACUCGUUGGCUGUAAGUGGGUGUUCACAGUGAAAUACAAAGCUGAUGGUACAAUCGAAUGAUUUAAGGCCAGAUUGGUUGCUAAAGAUUUCACCCAAACCUAUGGAGUGGAUUAUCAAGAGACAUUUACCCCAGUUGCAAAAAUAAAUUCAAUCAGAAUUCUAUUAUCUUGCGCGGCCAACUUGGACUGGGACUUACAACAGUUUGAUGUGAAGAAUGCUUUCCUCCAUGGAGAUUUAGAGGAAGAAGUAUUCAUGGAAAUUCCUCUUGGGUUCGCUGAUGAGAAGACACAAGGAAAGGUGUGCAAGUUAAAAAAAGCUUUGUAUGGGCUAAAACAAUCUCCCAGAGCUUGGUUUGACAGGUUUAGUGGAGCCAUGAUGUCUUUUGGUUACCAACAAAGCAAUGUUGAUCACACUUUGUUUAUCAAACAUCAUAAGGGUAAGAUCACCCUUCUUAAUGUGUAUGUUGAUGAUAUAGUGUUGACAGGUGAUGACAAAGAGGAAAUGGCUCAACUAAAGAGGUUGUUGGCUCAGGAAUUUGAAAUCAAAGAUCUGGGAAAACUGCAAUAUUUUCUAGGUAUUGAGAUGGCUAGAUCAGAAAAAGGAAUUUUCAUCUCCCAAAGAAAGUACAUUAUGGAUCCUUUGGAAGAAACUGGUAUGAUGGGGUGUAAACCAGCAGAAUCUCCAAUUGAAAGUAAUCACAAGCUGAAAGCAAGAACUGGCGAGUCCGUGGAUAUUGGAAGAUAUCAGAGAUUGGUAGGAAGGUUGAUUUAUCUCUCACAUACUCGACCGGAUAUAGCCUAUGUUGUUAGCUUAGUCAGCCAAUUCAUGCAUGACCCUCGCGAGACUCAUAUGCAAGCUGUACUUCGCAUCUUGAGAUACCUAAAGUCUACGCCAGGGAAAGUGUUUUUUUACUCCAAACAUGGUCACCUCCGAAUUGAAACUUUUACAGAUGCAGAUUGGGCAGGAUCUCUCGAUGACAGGAGAUCCACAUCUGCCUACUGCACAACUAGUGGAGGGAACCUUGUCACUUGGAGGAGUAAAAAACAAAGUGUUGUUGCUCGGUCAAGUGCGGAAGCAGAAUACAAAGCAAUGUCCCAAGGAGUGUGUAAACUCUUAUGGUUGCAGAAGUUAUUGGAAGAGUUGAGAUUGUCCGAGAGAGACAAGAUAACCUUGUAUUGUGACAAUAGAGCUGCUAUAAGUAUAGCACAAAAUCCAGUCCAACAUGACCGAACAAAAUACAUUGAAAUUGAUCGGCACUUCAUUAAAGAAAAAUUAACGGACGGUGUCUUGAGCCUAGUUCAUGUGACUUCUACUGAGCAACUUGCGGAUGUGUUUACUAAAUGGCUUAACAACAAGAUCUACCAUAAUCUGAUUUGCAAGUUGGGCAUGUGUGACAUCUUUGCACCAAUUUGAGGGGGAGUGUUGACUUUUUAGCUAAUCUUAGCUGAUUCUAGGAAUUUGAUUGGAUCUGAUUAGGAUCCUUAAUUAUCUCUGUAAUUAUUAUUUGAUUAAUUAUUUGAUUCUUGUUUAAAUAUGAUUCUUUGUGUAUAAAUAGUCAUCUAGACCAAUUAUAAAGAUUAAGAGUGAAAUUGACAAGAAUACUCAAAAUUUUCUCAAAAUUCUUCAAAAGAAAAUGAAUUUGAAACAGGAAAAAGUUAAUUAUGAUCAUAAAUUGCAAAAUUUACCUUUUGUAUAUGGAUUUCUCCAUAAUAUCAACAAAAAACAAUUUUUUUUCCAUUUACUUAAAAGAGAAGGAAUGAAAGAAGAGGAAGAGACCUAUCUGAUGAAAAUAACACGAAUACUAAAAAUCAACUACUAACCACUAACCACAAACUCUUAACCCUAACCCUAACCUUAACCCUAUACUAACCCUAACACUUCACAAAUACUUAACAAACACUUCACAAACACAUAACAAACACUUCACAAACACUUAACAAAAACUUCAAAAACACUUAACAAACAAUAAACACUUGAACAUCAUACGUAAACUUCACACAUAAGUGUUUAUACAAAUACUUAAAAAACAGUUAACAAAUACUUUAACAAACACUUCACAAACACUUAACAAACACUAACAUUUAAGCAUCACACUUCACACUUAAAUACUAAACACCUUAACACACAAACAUACUCACACGCUUCAAACUUAACAAACAUUAACACUUAAACAUUACACUUCAUACUUUCACACUUAAAAAAUUAAACAUUUAACACUUAAACACACAAAUAAACUUACACACUCGUACACUUCAACAAACACUUAUACGUAACAAAAACUUAACAAAACACUUCAAAAAUACUGCACAAGGAUUUAACAAAUACUAACACUUGACAAACAGUAAUACUUAAAUAUCACACUUCACACUUAACACCUAAACACACAAACACUUUAACAGUACACACUUCACACCAUUUCACACUACACACUUCACACUUAAACAAAUAUUUUAACACUUUACGCUUCAAUAAACACUUUAACUUUUAACACCUUAACACUUCACACUUCACACUUCACAAACACUACCAUUCACCAAACACUACAACUUAAACAUCACACUUCACACAUAAGUAUUAACACCUUAACAGCUAAAUACACUUAAAAAAAACGUAACAAAUACUUCACAAACACUUAACAAACUAAUACCUAAGCAUCACACUUCACACCUUCACACUUAAACACCCCAACACACAAACACACUCACACACUUCACACUUAAGAAACACUAACACUUAAACAUCACACUUCACACUGCACGCUUUCACACAUAAACACUUAAACACCUAAACACUUAACACCUUAAGACCUAACUUUACAUACUUCACACGCUUCACACACUUCACACUUAAGAAACAAUAACACUUAAACAUCACACUUCACACUGCACAUUUUCACACGUAAACACCUAAACACCUAACUUAACACUUCACACACUUCACACUUCACACACUUCACAAACUUCACACUCUUCACAUUUCACACACUUCACACUCUUCACAACACCUAACUUCACACUUCACACACUUCACACUUCACACUUCACACUACACUUCACAUACAAUACACACACACUUUAAACUUCACACUCCACACUCUUCGCACUUCGCACUUCGCACUUCGCACUUCGCACUUCGCACUUCGCACUUCGCACUUCGCACUUCGCACUUCGCACUUCGCACUUCGCACUUCGCACUUCGCACUUCGCACUUCGCACUUCACACACUUCACGCUCUUCAUACUCUUCACAACACCUAACUUCAUAUUUCACACACUUCACACACUUUACACACUUUACACUUCACACACAAUUCACACACACUUCACACUUCACACUUCACACUCUUUGCACUUCACAUUUCACACUUCACACUCAUCACACUUGACACUCAUCACACUUGACACUUGACACUUCACACAUUUCACACUUCACACGUCACGCACUUGAACACUUUACACCCAUCACAAUUCACACUUCACACACUUCACACUUCCCCAAUUCCCGCACUUUGCACUUUGUCACACUUUGUCACAAUUCAAAUUUGUCAAACAUUUACACUUCACACAGCACACUUCACAUUUCACACUUUUCACACACUUCACAACAAGUGCUGAACAAAAUACUUACAAAACACUUCAAAAACACAUCUCAAGGACUUAACAAACAAUAACACUUAAAUAAACACUUAAAAAUCACACUUCACUAUUUACACCAAAACACCCAAACACAAACACUUAACCACUUCAAACCACUUCACCCUUCACACUACACACUUCAUACUUUAAAACAAAUACUUAAGCAUUUCAUACUGAAAUAAUUACUUUAACAUUCCACACAUGAACACAAACACACAAACACUUCACACUUGAACACUUAAUAGCUUAAAACAAACACCUUUAACACCUAAACACACAAACACACAAACACUUCACAAGUAAAUAAACACUUCACAAACAAUUACACUUAACUAACACAUAUAAAACACUUCACUAACAGUUAACAAACACUAACACUUAAAAAUUACACUUCACACUUAAAAAAAACACUUUAACACUUUAACGCUUAAACACACACUUUAACACUUAACACUUAAGCACACACUUUAGCACUUCACACUCAACACUUAACCACACACUUUAACACUUUAACGCUUAAACACACACUUUAACACUUAACACUUAAACACACACUUUAGCACUUCACACUCAACACAUAAACACACACUUAAACACUUAACACUUCAACACCUUAACACCUAAAUACCCAAACACCCAAAUACCCCAACACUAAUUGAUUUUAUAUGUACUAUUCCUAGAGAACUUACAUUUACAUUAUAAUAUAGGAAAGAGACUGAUUCAAGUAUAUAAUUUCUAUGAAUAAAAUUAUAUUUCAAAAACAUGUUUAAAUGCAAAACGAAAUUUAAAAAAUUAAAAAUUACAAAAAACCUUUAUCCUACCCCGCACUCUAAUAUAUAGAAGUAAGAAACUCUAUUACUUCAAUAAGAAUUAGAAAGCACCCGUCAAGUUUUGGCUUCAACUUCAUCUACUACCAAUAUAUUGUUGUGUAGUGCCAACUGUGCUUCUUCUAUCUGCAAACAAAAGAGUGAUUUAUGAGAAAAUAGAUAUCAACUGCAAAAUAAAGCUAGACCACUCAACUUGCAUCAUCAUAUGAAUUUAUAAAUACAUAUGCUUUUACCAACUCAAUAUGAUAAUUGACCUAGAACCUUGAUAAAUGGCAUGGACUCAAAAUCUCCUGCAAGCAUGAAAGUUGGUCGUAACAAACAGAAAAUUUUGAAAAUAAAUGUUACUGUCAUUUAUUAUAACUGUACCUAGAGUGUCAUCCAAUUCAAUGACACAUAUCUGCAGGUCCAGGCAUGCCUUCCACUGGUAUCAUUGUUACGCGUCCAAUCCACUUUUGAAUAGCAUCUAUAACGUGAGGAACAAUCUAUAGGUAGCAACAUUACACAAAGGCUAUUGCAAGCCACAAUAGCUGAUGGGUUCAAUAGUUAUUAAAUACCUGGACAGUUUUUUCAGAUAGUCUCCCCUUCUUUUCUUAUCUAUAACAUGC